AUGCCAAAACAGGCUGAUGGGAAACCUUUUCUGCUCUUUGUCCUUUGGAAUACAGAGAAAACCAAUGAGAGCCCCAAAAUGGCUUUUUUUUGCACCUGCCUGCUGACUCUCCAUCUCUUUCAGCUGUGCUUUCUGCUAUCAAAAUAUGAUCCUAGGAUCUGUGGUCUUGCAAAAUGCUCGGUCUCUGCAGCGGUGCUAAAACAUUGCCAAUCCAACAUCACUAGAAGAAAUAAUGGUUUCAGUAGCAGUAAUGUUUAACUAGAGUUCUUGGCUAACAUGACUGCUAGCAAGAUUUGGAUUCUUCCACCUCUAGAUCCCCCUGACAUGUGCUGACCCUCCUCACAGUUAAGAGGUCUGUGUGAUA
rnacentral:lncRNA from 1 species